rnacentral:tmRNA from 1 species
ACGGACUAAGCAUGUAGACCUUGAGGCGGAGUGCUUGCGGACGCGGGUUCGAUUCCCGCCGCCUCCACCA